CCAUUCCCGUCUGACCUAACCCCACUUUUUUGUAUUUUUCUUCGAAAGACAAUUGCUUUUGAUGAUUAUUGCCGUUUUCAGAUUUUUUUUAUAUGUGCUCCUGAUUUUCUUACAAAUUUUCAAAAACCGAGAAUUUCACCACUUUUCAAAAUAAAAACCGGCAUGCGAAGUAGUUUUUGGUAACCCUAAAGAUGGUGAUCUUUUUUUCACCUCUCAGAAAACGAAGAACAUCUGGGAACUCUAUGGAUGUUUAUUUACAUUUUGAAACGUCAAACAGCAGAUUUUGAAAAAAAAGAUCGAUUCCACAUCAGCAGAACAGAAAGGCCACUACUCGGCGAGUACGUUCAAUCUGACGACGGAACGUCGUGAUUUUCGAUGGAGGUAACAGAAGAACGGCCUGCAAAAGAGCUUCCACGAUGUAGAAGGAGGAGCUGGAUGUUGGAGCGAGCGCGUUGCGGUUGCGGUGACUCGUCGGUACGACGUGAGAUCUUAAACAGGACACCAUCCAGGAGGAAACGGAUGGCCAGACCUAAGACCAAACGCAGCAACCAGUUUCUCUUAUCGAAACUUCCCUGCCGGCUGAAUAAGAACUGUCGCAUCUCUGCUACAGAUUACCUUGCAUCUGGAAGGUGGAUCCUCUUCACAACCCAUUUUAGAUCUUCAGUUUGAACACCCUGUCGAUGGAUAUGCUCCUCAGAAGAUCGGUCGCGACUCGCGAGGAAUUACGUUCAUUCUAAUCGGAUGGAAACAGUGGAAGUCAAUAACAGCAACAAAGUAGGAAAGGAGGCGGGUCACCUAUGAAACGGAUCCUGGUAACUUUUAAAAUAACUCAGUUAUAUUUCACAUUUUUUGAAAUUAUGUUCUAUUCAGUUAUGACAUAAAGUCAUAUAAUUUGAAACCAGUUACUCCAGCGAUUCUGGCAUUCGCCUAAUCCUCUAGAAAUUCCUUCAGGAUAUCGAUUGAGAUUCAUCUAAAAGAUCUUGAUCCUUCAAGGAUUUUCCAGCGACUCCUUCAGAGUUUCUUUCUGAGAUAUCUUGAAGUUUUUCCUCCAGGAGUAAUUGAGGGAUUUCACUUCAUGAGCUUCAGAAUUUUCAUUCAUGAGGUACUUCAGAAUCUUCCUGGGAUUCCUCCAGAAGUUCAUUAAGAGAUUAUUCCAAGAACUUAUUUUGCUUAAUAGUUCAUACAUGGAUUCCCUCAGGGGUUCCUUGAGCUAUUCAAUCAGGAGCCAAUCAAGGAUUUAUCCAGAUGUACUUCAGGGAUUUCUCCAGAAAUGCCUUCAGGAAUUCUUCCAGGGGUUUCUAGAGGUGCUUUCGAAUAUCCUUCAAGGAUUUAUCUAGUAUUUCUUACCUCCAGAGUACUUUCAGAGAUUCUUUAGGGAUUCCUUCCGAAGAUUUCUCCAGAAAUUCUCCCUGG